rnacentral:rRNA from 1 species
UACGAAGGGGGCUAGCGUUGCUCGGAAUCACUGGGCGUAAAGGGUGCGUAGGCGGGUCUUUAAGUCAGGGGUGAAAUCCUGGAGCUCAACUCCAGAACUGCCUUUGAUACUGAAGAUCUUGAGUCCGGGAGAGGUGAGUGGAACUGCGAGUGUAGAGGUGAAAUUCGUAGAUAUUAGGAAGAACACCAGUGGCGAAGGCGGCUCACUGGCCCGGUACUGACGCUGAGGCGCGAAAGCGUGGGGAGCAAACAGG